AGAACGAACGCUGGCGGCAUGCCUAAUACAUGCAAGUCGAACGAACACUUCGGUGUUAGUGGCGCACGGGUGCGUAACGCGUGGGAAUCUGCCCUUGGGUUCGGAAUAACAGUUGGAAACGACUGCUAAUACCGGAUGAUAUCGAAAGAUCAAAGAUUUAUCGCCCAGGGAUGAGCCCGCGUAGGAUUAGCUAGUUGGUGAGGUAAAGGCUCACCAAGGCGACGAGUCUUACGCUGGUCUGGAGACGGGAC
rnacentral:rRNA from 1 species